rnacentral:rRNA from 1 species
CACGUAGGAGGCGAGCGUUGUCCGGAAUCAUUGGGCGUAAAGAGCGCGCAGGCGGCUUGGCAAGUCGGGUGUGAAAUCCCGGGGCUCAACCCCGGGACUGCAUUCGAUACUGUCAGGCUAGAGGUAGGAAGGGGAGAUCGGAAUUCCUGGUGUAGCGGUGAAAUGCGCAGAUAUCGGGAGGAACACCGGUGGCGAAGGCGGCCCCCUGGUUGGAUACUGACGCUGAGACGCGAAAGCGUGGGGAGCAAACAGG